ensembl:ncRNA Y73B3A.24 ncRNA
CACAACGGCUACAAUGUAGCCAGUCGGCACCGCGUCAAGCCAUUCUUCCAAGCCGUGGGAUUCUGGAAAAUUUAAAAGUUUUGCUAAGAUUUUUGUUGGGUUUCACCAAAGGGCACAAUUAGAAAAAUCAAUUAGUUUU